rnacentral:rRNA from 1 species
AAUGAACGCUGGCGGCAUGCCUAACACAUGCAAGUCGAACGAGACCUUCGGGUCUAGUGGCGCACGGGUGCGUAACGCGUGGGAAUCUGCCCUUGGGUUCGGAAUAACAGUUAGAAAUGACUGCUAAUACCGAAUGAUGUCGUAAGACCAAAGAUUUAUCGCCCAGGAUGAGCCCGCGUAAGAUUAGGUAGUUGGUGUGGUAAAGGCGCACCAAGCCGACGAUCUUUAGCUGGUCUGAGAGGAUGAUCAGCCACACUGGGACUGAGACACGGCCCAGACUCCUACGGGAGGCAGCAGUGGGGAAGUAUUGGACAAUGGGCGAAAGCCUGAUCCAGCAAUGCCGCGUGAGUGAU